UGCUAACAACUGCCUGAGCGCCUCCGC
rnacentral:sRNA from 1 species